GGGUGGUCGCCGCUGAUCAGGUAGUCACACAGCCAUCCGUCGGGCUACUUCAGCUAGGCUCCUUGUCUCCUUUCCCUUUCCCUCAAACGUCUUCUUGGAGAUGCGAUGCUUCCCGCACGGCGCAAGAGGCCACCGAGGCCAAGGCCGAGCCGCUUCGCACACAACUUUCUGACGCCGAUGGUCGUGUAACUGCUUUGGGGGCAAGCUACGGAAACUACACCAUCACCUAGGCCAGCUUCUGGACAACAAUGGGGCCCACUGCACUUCCCUGGUGGAACGUUUAGAUAAUGCCCUGUGCCGCAUUCGGGAUAUUGUUGACUUUGAUGUUCAUCGGGGAGUCGUGGUGGCGUUGAUGAUGGGGGAGAUUUGCUCUGGCCGCCAUCUUCAGUAUAUCAUCGACCCUCCUCCAUCUCUUUCGAAUGAGGGGCAGGAAGACCUACUAGAAGGUUAUGACGAGGUGGCUAGUCAUGUUUUUCUUAGGGUGUCGGCUCAUGACGUUGUGCAUGAUGCGCGCUGAUCACAAUGUAUCGUGCCUUACUGCCACAUCUCUAAAGUAAUAAAGUGAACUUUGUUCCCUA